AUUACGCAAUCCUUACCAAUGCAGUCGAGCGGAAGGCCCUUCGGGGUACUCGAGCGGCGAACGGGUGAGUAACACGUGAGCAACCUGCCCUAGGCUUUGGGAUAACCCUCGGAAACGGGGGCUAAUACCGAAUAUUCACUUGCGGGCGCAUGUUUGUGGGUGGAAAGUUUUUCGGCUUGGGAUGGGCUCGCGGCCUAUCAGCUUGUUGGUGGGGUGAUGGCCUACCAAGGCGACGACGGGUAGCCGGCCUGAGAGGGCGACCGGCCACACUGGGACUGAGACACGGCCCAGACUCCUACGGGAGGCAGCAGUGGGGAAUAUUGCACAAUGGGCGGAAGCCUGAUGCAGCGACGCCGCGUGAGGGAUGACGGCCUUCGGGUUGUAAACCUCUUUCAGCAGGGACGAAGCGCAAGUGACGGUACCUGCAGAAGAAGCGCCGGCCAACUACGUGCCAGCAGCCGCGGUAAGACGUAGGGCGCGAGCGUUGUCCGGAUUUAUUGGGCGUAAAGAGCUCGUAGGCGGCUUGUCGCGUCGACUGUGAAAACCCACGGCUCAACUGUGGGCUUGCAGUCGAUACGGGCAGGCUAGAGUUCGGUAGGGGAGACUGGAAUUCCUGGUGUAGCGGUGAAAUGCGCAGAUAUCAGGAGGAACACCGGUGGCGAAGGCGGGUCUCUGGGCCGAAACUGACGCUGAG
rnacentral:rRNA from 1 species